rnacentral:misc_RNA from 1 species
AAGUCGUAACAAGGUUUCCGUAGGUGAACCUGCGGAAGGAUCAUUACAAAUUAUGGCGAACUUCGCGUUUUCGCGAGGUUUUGCGUCCAAACUUAUAUUUAAAACAUCCCACUCUAUAAAAAAAAAAUUAUCUAAUGAUAAAUAAAAAAGAUCACUUUCAACAACGGAUCUCUUGGUUCUC